rnacentral:tRNA from 1 species
UAGUUUAUACAAAAUAUUGGUUUGUCAAACCAGAGUAGUGAAAAAUUCAC